rnacentral:tRNA from 1 species
UGAGUUUUAAGUUAUCUAAACUACAAGCCUUCCAAGCUUGAAAUAAAAAAUUAAACUCAA